UAUGCUAGGAAUAUGCUAUAUGGAAGGUCUAUAAAUACCACCAUACCAUAACUCCAUCAUUCCACACUCAACACUACACUCCAUCUCUCCCUCUCUCUAUCUUAAUCUUCUUCAUAUCUUCAAGUCUUGUUCUUGAAGAUUCAACAUCCUUUCUAGUAAACUUCAAGAUAGUGUGAAGAUCUAAGGUUGUUCCCAAGGUGUUGUCAAGUGAAUACAAGCUUCCUAUCAUCCCAUAACUUACUUGAAUCUUGAAGUGUUUCAUGUUCUUGAAUGAUGGAAAAAAAUGCAAGUAUUUGGACAAAUAAAUAAUUUGAGGGAUUGUGUUAGCAUAUAAAAACGCACCCAAAGGUGAAGUUGCUUAGUGUUGAU
rnacentral:lncRNA from 1 species